rnacentral:rRNA from 1 species
CCGGCACGGGUGAGUAACACGUAUCCAACCUGCCGUCUACUCUUGGACAGCCUUCUGAAAGGAAGAUUAAUACAAGAUGGCAUCAUAAGUCCGCAUGUUCACAUGAUUAAAGGUAUUCCGGUAGACGAUGGGGAUGCGUUCCAUUAGAUAGUAGGCGGGGUAACGGCCCACCUAGUCUUCGAUGGAUAGGGGUUCUGAGAGGAAGGUCCCCCACAUUGGAACUGAGACACGGUCCAA